rnacentral:tmRNA from 1 species
GGGGGCGAAAUGGCUUCGACGGAGAUUUUGAGGCCCAAGGUAGCAUACCGAGUCUUUUGUCAGCUCGUAAACUUGGCAAUGAAUAAACAUAAUCGCAGAUGAUUAUAAUUACGCUGUAGCUGCGUAGAGCAGCUUCCGUCCUCCUGAUAUCCUUCUUGCAGAUUUCAGAUGAGGGCGUCGACUUUGCAAGACCGCCUUUUAAG